GGGGAUGUUCUGGUUUAGACAGCAUCGACUCCGGAAAGUAAGCACGCCGGGCUAUGGGGUAAUGCCCGUUAAAAUACACUCCGAACAAUUAGCUGGCAACAGCAAUUAUGCACUCGCUGCCUAAUCUGCCAAGCGGAUUAGCUUAAUGGAGCCGCCCAGGUGCGGAAACCACGAGUAUCCCUCCCGCAUUAGGGCUUCUCUGUCGGGGCAAUGGGGUAUCAUUAAAGAAGUCUGCAUGCAGGGACUCCUUUAAACUGCAUUAAGAUUAAAAGGAUAAGGUUCGGGUGGCCUGUCUUCCGGCAGCCCUUUCCCUACAAACAAAGGAAGAAUAAGCGUGUAGAAAGCUUUUGGGAGCUUUGUUUGGACGGCGGUUCGACUCCGCCCAUCUCCACAA
rnacentral:tmRNA from 1 species